AUGGGAAAGCAAAACCUAUGCUUGAGCCUCAGCAUUCAGCAGUACAUAAACCUAUCCUAUUUAUUUAUUUAUUAUUUAUUUAUUUUUGCUAAUGAACAGUUGUGGUUAUUAUAUCUAUAUCAGGAGGAUAGUAAAGAUAUUUCUAAAGUACAGAAUAUAAUUUUUAUAUUGACUGCAAAAGAAAAUCUAACCACAUUUGAUCUUCUGGACCUUGAAUUACUUAACUCUAUGGCCGCCUAUGAUAUUGUAACUACCUUUCCUACUCAGUUUGACAUUUGGUUUCUCGUACAGGGAGUGGUUAAUAAGUUGCAUUAA
rnacentral:rRNA from 1 species